AAUAUAGGUAAAUACAUACCAAACUUACAUAAAUUUAUAGACUAUUUUGAAUUAAUUAUUCAAUCUUUCAAAAUUUUGAUUGUACUAUCCAUUCUUUAAAUUUUUUUGAUUUUAGUCGGUCAACGGCACUUUGACUUCAAAUUUUGAAUUUGUCGUUUUUCUUUAUAGGUUUAAUUAGUAUACAUCAUGCAAUUAAUUCUCACAACUAUAAAUUUAUUAAAGUAAAUAAUUAAUUUAAGUUUUGAAGUCAAAAUGUUGUUGACUGGUUCAAAUUAAACAAAAUUGAAAGGUUAGAUAGUAAAAUCAAAAUUUCGAAAGAUUAGAUAGUUCCGAUAAGUUUUUUACGAUUUUACUCAAA
rnacentral:lncRNA from 1 species